ACUCCUACGGGAGGCAGCAGUAGGGAAUAUUGGUCAAUGGGCGAAAGCCUGAACCAGCCAUGCCGCGUGUCAGAUGAAGGUCCUCUGGAUUGUAAAUGACUUUUCUACGGGAAGAAUGAGCCGUCUGCGGACGGAAGUUGACGGUACUGUAGGAAUAAGCACCGGCUAACUACGUGCCAGCAGCCGCGGUAAUACGUAGGGGUGCAAGCGUUGUCCGGAUUUACUGGGUUUAAAGGGUACGUAGGCGGUUGUGCCAAGUCUGGGGUGAAAGUUUGCAGCUCAACUGUAAAAUUGCCUUGGAUACUGGUCGGCUAGAGUAGUGGAGCGGUGGCUGGAAUUUAUAGUGUAGCGGUGAAAUGCUUAGAUACUAUGAGGAACACCAAUUGCGAAGGCAGGUCACUGGUCACUAACUGACGCUGAGGUACGAAAGUGUGGGGAUCAAACAGGAUUAGAUACCCUGGUAGGAUAGCG
rnacentral:rRNA from 1 species